rnacentral:rRNA from 1 species
GCAUGUCUAAGUACGUGCCUUAGAAAGGUGAAACCGCGAAUGGCUCAUUAAAUCAGUUAUGGUUCCUUAGAUCGUACCUUACUACUUGGAUAACUGUGGUAAUUCUAGAGCUAAUACAUGCAGCAGAGCUCCGACCUUCGGGGACGAGCGCUUUUAUUAGACCAAGACCAAUCGGACUUCGGUCCGAAGCUCAUGGUGACUCUGGAUAACUUUGGGCUGAUCGCACGGUCUCGUACCGGCGACGCAUCUUUCAAGUGUCUGCCUUAUCAACUUUCGAUGGUAGGUUAUGCGCCUACCAUGGUCGUAACGGGUAACGGGGAAUCAGGGUUCGAUUCCGGAGAGGGAGCCUGAGAAACGGCUACCACAUCCAAGGAAGGCAGCAGGCGCGCAAAUUACCCACUCCCGGCACGGGGAGGUAGUGACGAAAAAUAACAAUACGGGACUCUAUUGAGGCCCCGUAAUUGGAAUGAGUACACUCUAAAUCCUUUAACGAGGAUCUAUUGGAGGGCAAGUCUGGUGCCAGCAGCCGCGGUAAUUCCAGCUCCAAUAGCGUAUAUUAAAGUUGUUGCGGUUAAAAAGCUCGUAGUUGGAUCUCAGUUCCAGACGGGUGGUCCACCCCUGGUGGCUACUGCCUGGCCUGAACAAAUCCAGCCGGUUUUCCUUGAUGCUCUUCACCGAGUGUCUUGGGUGACCGGCACGUUUACUUUGAAAAAAUUAGAGUGCUCAAAGCAGGCGUGACGCCUGAAUAAUGGUGCAUGGAAUAAUGGAAUACGACCUCGGUUCUAUUUUGUUGGUUUU